GCAUCCGUAGCUCAAUGGAUAGAGCGUCUGAUUCCGGUUCACAAGGUUGGGGGUUCGAGUCCCUCCGGGUGCG
rnacentral:tRNA from 1 species